rnacentral:tRNA from 1 species
GCAUUCGUGGUGUAAGAGUAACACACUUGACACAUAUUCAAGAGGUCUAGGUUCGAGUCCCAGUGAGAGCA